UUCUAUCGAGAUCAGAAACAAGAGGAUGAUGAAUUCCAAAUUUAUUGCAUUAUUUGCAUUGUACAUUGUAAUGAAUAAUGUCUAUGGAAUUGUGACACCAAUACUAGGAACAAACAGCAACAAAACAGUCCAAGUGGAGACAACAACAAAUUCCACAAAUUCAUCACAGGCUGAGGUGGGGAAAAGUGUGUUGGAAUCGGCUCUUGGCAUUAAGCUUGAUCUCCAGGGAAAGACCCCUUCUGUAAACUUAAAUAUCACCAAUCUGAAAAUUCUUUGUACGAUUAUCAAGGAUUUAUGCCAAAACCAGUACGACAGUUGGGGUAAAUGAAGAAAUCAGGAAUUUCUGCAAGAGGCUUCAAUGUCUAAAGUCUAAUAAAUUAACUUCUUAUUUCU